AUCCUAUAAUGAGAGCAUUUUUGUAAUAAUUACUUGAAUCGUUCUUAAGUCUUAUAUAAGGAUUCAUCAUCGAACUGUUGGAAUAUGGUGAUCUCAUUCCUUAGCUU
rfam:Gossypium hirsutum cultivar TM-1 chromosome 3, whole genome shotgun sequence